CAGAGAGAUAUGGGCUAGCGACGCAUAUGAGUACGGGGGCCAGUGAAAUCUGAGCUAGCGACGUAUAGAGUGCGGGGGCACAGAGACAUAUGAGCUAGCGACUCAUAUUGGAUGAGUACGGGGGCCAUAGACGUCUGAGCUAGCGAUGUAUAUUGUGUGGUGCGGGGUGCAGAGACGUUUGCAUAUCGACGCAUAGUGGUGGAGUGCGGGGGUCCAGAGAUUUCUGGACUAGCGACGCAUAUUAUAAUAUCGUAUAUCCUUAUGAAGAGAAUGCGGGGUGUGUGGAGUAGCUAUGUACCGUCAGCGCAUUGUUUUUUUGUGUGAUGCGCUAGGCAUCAUGUUUGUUCAUGUUAGAGCUAAACUUCCAUAGUGGGAGUUCUAUUACUGAGUCAGUGGUUUGCGUGUUUAGCAUCCCAUACCUCACUGAGUGACUCUUAUGUCGCUCAUCCCUCUUUCUUCCCCUUGAAGGUGACCUUGCCGAGUAAUUGGAUAUCUGGACGGUUUGGUGUCUUUGGGAUGAUCGUAUUUUAUUUUGGAUUUAUUCGACAUUUCGAUCCGUAAUAUUUCAGUUACUAAAUUAUCUCACUUUUAUUUUAUUAAAUAUUUUGAUAUUUUACUCGGUUUUGAAUAACUCUGUCUGAUUCGGUAUUUUUUUGGUUGGUAGCACGCCGUGCUCGAG
rnacentral:lncRNA from 1 species